rnacentral:lncRNA from 1 species
UAUUAUCGGGCUACAAAUGCUUAGAAAAUUUUGUUGAUAUCCAUACAUAUAGCUACAAUUGUAUACACUUUCAGUUGUUUCCUUUAGCCCACUUGCUAUACAUUAAUUUCAUUUGAACUCAACUCUCCAAGAACUAAAGACGUGCAGGAAGUUGAGAAGAUGGAAGAAUCUCAAAAAUGGAAUACACAAAGUCCAUGUUGGACGGUGCUUAAGAACCUCAUUCCAAAGUUAUAAACCAAGUUUCAAAACGUAGUCCACGUUAUUAUUUUUUUAAAAUAUAUUGACUACAUAAUAACUGUUCUGUCUAUUAGCGGAUUGGAGUAUGUAUGUAAAGUACUCUUCAAAAAACACUGAAAUCUUCUUAAAUUUAUCCUCAUUACUGAAUUAACAAAUUGAAUUCGGCGGAGCGGAGAAAAGUAGCAUAUAUAUUAUGAGGCACAAUGAUAAAAAGACGUUAUCUGUUGUCCAAUAAAAAGCGAGAUCUUGUGUAAGAAGAAUUUAUCAGUAAUGAAUUAAAUCUACUAAAGCUAAUCGGCGCGCUGUACUACUUUGUUUUAAUGGAGACCACGCUGUCUAAGAACAAAGAUCAUUACUCAGAUGCCCUUCUUGGAACAAUGUAGGAUUCAUCAAGGAUUUGUGGCAAACCACUGCGUUAUGGCUUUAUCUGCAAAAGUGAUACUAAGAAUAAGUGAUAUGGUUUCCAAAUUUUGAGUACAUUUUUCAAGCUACAUAGACUUAAUAGUCAAACUUUUUUUCGAAAAGAAUCGAUUCCAUGAAGAUUUUUGGUUCUCUUUUGAAUUUAACAAUGCAAUAAACAAUGUAUAUUACAAAUUAAAUUAACUAUCAUUAUGUAAAUACUUAAUGUAUUUAAGCAUGUGUGCCAAAAAUAUCAAAAUAUUUGAUGUUUGGGAUACAUUUAUUUUUAUUUGUCAUGGUAUGACCUUACUACAAUCUAAAACACAAAAGGGAACUCAAAACAAUUUUUCAUCAAAUUCAUCAUGAACAGGAGCUGAUAAAUAAAAGCUUGAUUUUUUUAGAGAUUUUUUAAUAAUUGGUCCUUUAACAUAUCAAUUCUAUUUUACAACUGAUAUAUUUAUA